GUCUAAAAGCUACAGCUUCUGGGAGCAAGUAGGCUUGUGGCAGUCAAGCACAGCCUUAGCUUGUUUGCAUUAGCAGCCAUCAGCUGUGAGGUGAUGGCUUAAGGAAAUGGAUAGGUACUGAGACUCGGGUUAUAAAGAAGCAUAUGGUGCUUUGCAGCUAUGGAUUAUCUGUUGUUGUGCUGGGGCACUCGGACCUUCCAGAAGUGUCUGUGAUUCUUCAUAGCAUGCACUCAAAGGCAACUGUCCAGGAAAGGCUCCACAGUCUGCAGCAGCCCAGGGGGAGAAAGUCUGGUGGUGAUGGAAUGGACCGCAAGAAAACACAACCACCACAGUGCUCAGCACCAGGCUGGCACCUAUGCUCGGUGCCAGACCUCUGGCCAGCACAGGGCUUUGGCUUUAUUGGCUUUUCCAGCCCAUGCAUGGCUCAUCUCGCCAUUACUGAUCUGCCUGCAGGAACAAGGACGUGUCACCAGCACAGCAGCUCUGACUCAGGUCCGUGGGGAGCGAAGUGAUGCUCAUGCUCCCCGUAGCAGCUCCUCCAGCCUGCUCGCUCCAAUAAUAGCCUCCGUGUGUGAAAUUUCACCUGACCUGAACUUUUCCUGAGUUUAUCCAGCCUUCACCCUGACAGUUCAGAGCAGAACUGUUUUUGUGCCUCGCAACCCAGACACCAAAUUGGAGCUGAAGUGACGUUUAUUGUUUCAACAGUGUUAUUAUAUGAAGAUUGAGCUCAUUACAAACAUGACCUGUUUUUGAGCCAGGACACAUAUUAAUUUGGAUAAAAUACCAGCUGUGUCCUCUCUCCAUAUGGCCUUAUCGGAAAACAAACUGGGUUAAGUUUCAUUCCAAAGAAUGAAAAUAUAAUUGAAUACUUGCCUCGUUUGAGGAAACUCAAAUAAUCAUUAUCGUCACGUCUCCGCUAAUCGCAGCAGAGAGGGGGCAGAGGUGUUUAUUUCUGUGUGCAUCUAAAAAUAAACCAAGGCACAAUUCCUGUGGGGGGAAACAGAGGGCAGCACGGGGCAGACUUUCCUCCAGCUCUGGGAGAAGAAGGUCGUCCCCCAACCUAUGGACCAGAGGUGCAUAUUGAGGUUUUGCUGUGUUUUUGUGGUGAUUUUUGCAUUUGUUUUGUGGUAUUCUUUUUUUUUCCCCCAGAGGAGACAGGGGUUAUCUCUGAAAAGGCAUAGAUGUGGAUAUGUGGAGGUCUUUUCUCCUCCCCAUCAGCACUCUCAGUGUUGUAAUUAAGGGUUGGGGGCAAGCGCUGCAUCCCACCACUGCAUGUUGGCCUCAGACAUCCCCAUCAACAACCCAGACAGACAAACUUAGGAAUAGG
rnacentral:lncRNA from 1 species